CCUACGGGCGGCAGCAGUGGGGAAUAUUGGACAAUGGGCGAAAGCCUGAUCCAGCCAUGCCGCGUGUGUGAAGAAGGCCUUCGGGUUGUAAAGCACUUUCAGUGGGGAAGAAAGCCUUGGGGCUAAUACCCUCGAGGAAGGACAUCACCCACAGAAGAAGCACCGGCUAACUCCGUGCCAGCAGCCGCGGUAAUACGGAGGGUGCGAGCGUUAAUCGGAAUUACUGGGCGUAAAGCGCGCGUAGGCGGUCUGAUAAGCCGGUUGUGAAAGCCCCGGGCUCAACCUGGGAACGGCAUCCGGAACUGUCAGGCUAGAGUGCAGGAGAGGAAGGUAGAAUUCCCGGUGUAGCGGUGAAAUGCGUAGAGAUCGGGAGGAAUACCAGUGGCGAAGGCGGCCUUCUGGACUGACACUGACGCUGAGGUGCGAAAGCGUGGGUAGCAAACAGGAUUAGAUACCCCGGGUAGUC
rnacentral:rRNA from 1 species